rnacentral:rRNA from 1 species
UGGGGAAUAUUGCACAAUGGGCGCAAGCCUGAUGCAGCCAUGCCGCGUGUGUGAAGAAGGCCUUCGGGUUGUAAAGCACUUUCAGCGAGGAGGAAGGUGGUGAGCUUAAUACGCUCAUCAAUUGACGUUACUCGCAGAAGAAGCACCGGCUAACUCCGUGCCAGCAGCCGCGGUAAUACGGAGGGUGCAAGCGUUAAUCGGAAUUACUGGGCGUAAAGCGCACGCAGGCGGUUUGUUAAGUCAGAUGUGAAAUCCCCGGGCUCAACCUGGGAACUGCAUUUGAAACUGGCAAGCUAGAGUCUCGUAGAGGGGGGUAGAAUUCCAGGUGUAGCGGUGAAAUGCGUAGAGAUCUGGAGGAAUACCGGUGGCGAAGGCGGCCCCCUGGACGAAGACUGACGCUCAGGUGCGAAAGCGUGGGGCAGCAAACAGGAUUAGAUACCCUGGUAGUCCAGCGCUGUAAACGAUGUCGAUUUUGGAGGUUGUGCCCUUGAGGCGUGGCUUCCGGAGCUAACGCGUUAAAUCGACCGCCUGGGGAGUACGGCCGCAAGGUUAAAACUUAAAUGAAUUGACGGGGUC